CAAUAGCGCAUAUUAAAGUUGUUGCAGUUAAAAAGCUCGUAGUUGGAUUUCUGGCAAGAGCGACCGGUCACACACUCUGUGUGUGAACAUGCGUUGUCUCUGGCCAUCCUUGGGAAGAUCCUGUUUGGCAUUAAGUUGUCGGGCAGGGGAUACCCAUCGUUUACUGUGAAAAAAUUAGAGUGUUUAAAGCAGGCUUAUGCCGUUGAAUAUAUUAGCAUGGAAUAAUAAGAUAGGACUUCGGAACUAUUUUGUUGGUUUGCGUUACGAAGUAAUGAUUAAUAGGGACAGUUGGGGGUAUUCGUAUUUCGUUGUCAGAGGUGAAAUUCUUGGAUUUCCGAAAGACGAACUACUGCGAAAGCAUUUACCAAGGAUGUUUUCAUUAA
rnacentral:rRNA from 1 species